GGCCGAGUGGUCUAGAGGUUAGGAUAAUCCGUUUACACCGGAUUGGUCGCGAGUUCGAUCCUCGCCUUGGUCA
rfam:Candida tropicalis MYA-3404 genomic scaffold supercont3.2, whole genome shotgun sequence.